rnacentral:rRNA from 1 species
CACGUAGGGCGCAAGCGUUGUCCGGAAUUAUUGGGCGUAAAGAGCUCGUAGGCGGUCUGUCACGUCGGAUGUGAAAACUCGGGGCUCAACCCCGAGCCUGCAUUCGAUACGGGCAGACUAGAGUUCGGUAGGGGAGGACUGGAAUUCCUGGUGUAGCGGUGAAAUGCGCAGAUAUCAGGAGGAACACCGGUGGCGAAGGCGGGUCUCUGGACAGUUCCUGACGCUGAGGCACGAAGGUCAGGGGAGCAAACGGG